AGUUCUCAAGAACCACUUGUGCCCGAAGCCCUUAGCUUCCUUUGCGGAAGAUUUGCGCGUAGGACACUAACUUAAAGGAUUUCCAUUUUUGUAGGUAGGUUUGUCGGAACUUCAGCUCAUUGUCUAGGCAACUAGCCAGACUUUACCGUUGCAGCGUUUAGCUGGGUCAAGGUCACCCUCGACGAUUGGAGUUCCUGGCCUACACCAGUUGGCAGAAUCCACCUAAGGGAACUCUUCCAAUGGGGGUCUCCAUCACGGCGUCAAUCUUCUUGCGAUGCCAGGCACGCACAAAUCAAAUGGACGCCAUUCAUUGCCAUCAUCAUCGACUGGUCUUUGCAUCCAUCCAUGCCGAUCCUCUAGAGCUCCAAUGCUGUGCAGAUCGGUCAGCGCCCAAGUGGCGGCGGAUUGCUGCAUUUGGUGCUGGCAUCGCAAACUGCGUUCCUCAUUGAAUUUCGUUUUCGAUUUGCUGCGAUAUUAUGCAUGCCCAAUCCAGUGGCGGAAUCCAAUGGGGUUACGUACCAAAGAGGAGUUUCA
ensembl:ncRNA lncRNA:CR44758 long non-coding RNA:CR44758